UGAACAUAAGGUGGCACAAAGUCUGGGGCUUUGAUGUGUUGGUUCAGGCCCACCAUAAGCGAUAGAUGGCCACACAAACACUGGAGUGUUACUUAAUUCUUUGUAAAGGAGAUACCAUCACAUCUCGUUGACCAUCAGAAUGCAAAUCCGUGUAACUUUGACAAGAACAAACUGUAUAACUCAAGAAGAUAUAAAAAAGUAACUACAUUUGGUAAUCAAUCAGGAGAGAUUUGCUACAACGAUAUGGCAUCUAUAGCAAGAUACUAUAACACGAGUGUCUCAUACCAUCCCUUCCUGCAUUUUUGGAAAUCAGAUCUUCAAUUCUAGGAUGAAAAACAUGUUAAAACCUUGAAAUAUUGAAUAAGCACAAAACCGUUACAGUCUACAGUGCAAAAACACGGAUGUUAAUGAGAUACAAUAGAUCAAGAAAGAAAGACUUUGUAGAAGCUGUGCUCCACCAUCAAAGAAUGCGUAUUGUCAUCAUUAAAAUGUCAUAUACUUCAAACCUAACAGUAAAGCUUCUUACCAUGAAUACGUUCAUCUUUUGUUAUGGGAUGACUUGUUGAAGUGGAUGAAGUUAUCAUUCUGGCUAGAAGAAACAGCUGUCUUUCAUUUUGCACAUAGAAUAUAUCUAUAGAGAGAACAAUGAGACUGUUUUACUUGACCAUUCAAUUUGGCCUGGAAACAGUGCCGAAGUCCUCUGUGUAUCUAUGAAAUGGUUAUCUCAACCUCUGGAAAGAUUUUUUUUUGUGAGAAUGAUAUGAAGUUUUCCCACUUAAUAUUUUUUCAGGGUUACGGAGUUUUCCAAGUAAAGAAGUUAAAUGAAUUGGAUGCAAAACAUACAAGUGCAUUUUGCCUGGUAUCUAUAGCCUGUUGUCUGAAAGAUCCUAUGUGUUUGACAUAAUAGACAAUGAACUUCCUUCUGCUUCCAGUUACACUCAUAUACGUCUGGAGUAACACCUUCGGAAUCUGAGAUGAGUUCUGCCUCAAUCUCUCUCUUUUUAGAUGCUGGACAAAGGCCAGUAUUUUACUUUGAAUAACUGCCUCUAAUGUUGGGAUUCUAUUCAUAAGUAACCCAUGAGAGGUGCAUUAAAAAACAGAGCUCUAAAUUUAGGGUAACAGUGGCCAUUUAAAGUCUAUGCUACAUAAAUCUAAAGACUAACCCAUACAUUUCAGGAAAUAUAUUUCUGUGUCCCAUGCCUGCAGCUGAAGAGCAGACAUGCCCACACAGGCUUUGCAGCUUGCAGACAGGCUGGAAUGAGAGGCUGUUGCAUGUUCACGAGAGGCAGGAUCCCUCUGCUAUUCCCUUUUCACGUGUUUUCUGCUUAUCUGGUUUUAAUAUUUCCUUAAAAAAAUUAAGAACUACAUCCCAGCCCCAUUUUCAUAAGCAUUUGGAGCUUCAGAAGGCCUUGCAAGCUGUUGUAGUGAUUGCGUGUUACAUCAUUCAUUCAUCCUCUUGAGAAAUGACACUGCCGCAGUUUUUCACUCAUCUCUUUGGUUAAGUGCUUUUGUAAUUUGUAUUAAACUGUAAACCAACUUCAUAAAAUAACCCAGUUUAAAAUGAAGCAAAAAAAGUGUUUUGGAGUUAUCAUUUUCCUAUCAAAUUAUUUCACGUUCUGUAACAAAUGUAGUUAAAUUAUUAUAAGAUCUUUGCUUUGCAACUAAUUAUUUGAAAAACAUCAGUGAUGUAGAAAUACGUAAGUCUAAAAUUGUGCCAUACAAAACUGACUACACAGGGACUGAACAAAAUGGCUUGUACUGAGAUGGAAACAUCCUUCCAGUCUUUCAUAUGAAGUUGUAGAGUGUAUAAAUAUGCUCAGUUUCUCUCCAUAAUCUUUUUCUUUUUUUUUUGAGAAAUUCACAUCAGCAACAUUUUCUGACUGCAUGAGUUUUGAAUUAUUUUAUAUUUUGUUAGGAAUACUUCCUGUCUUUACUUGCAUACUAAGUCUUAAAUGUAUUUUCUCGCAUUUGAGAGACAAGUGUAUAGUAACUGCAUCUCUGCCUACUUAACAACUCGUGUAAUGUGUUUCUCAUUUCAACAAUUCCCACCACUCAGCUCACAGUUUCAUUAAUUUUUCAGGUGAAGUUUUGCUGAUAUAUGGUUAAGAGAUUGAAAACAUUUAAAUCCAUUAAACUCUCUUUCUCUGCUACAAGCUGUUCUUAGAGUAAUUUGCUUAGUGUUAAUACAACAUCACUCUACACCACUCUGUCAAAAACUGAACUAAAAAUUCACACUUCUGAAGACACGAGUUAGUAAAUCAGUUUUGCACUAGCUCAGGUAGAAUUUCCCAAUAAUAAACCUAUCACUAAUAUUAAGAAUGACAUGGGUAAAAUUAUAUAUAGUGGUUAAUAUGAAAACACACUGAGUUUCUGUUUCGGGGAGAAGGGCAAGAGGUAAGAUAAUAAAACUCGAAAUGCUAUUUUUUU
rnacentral:lncRNA from 7 species